CCCCCAGUCGUCCUUCACCGACCCGAACAUUCAAAGUGCUACACUCUCAAAAACCCACAUUCACUCACCAUGUGCCGGUCGCGUACACGGCCAUGGACGAUGAGACGACCUAUGACGACCUGAUCAACCAAUACAUUAAAAAGUACCGCUUCACGACAUAUAUUCCCGACAUUGUGACCAUGUUGGAGCCACUCAUUCCGUGGGAUCGUCUCGCCAUCCACGCACGAACAGUCAACCUCAUGAGAGUGGAGAUGGCCACAAACCCCAAGAAGGGCUGGUAGACGGCAGGCCGUCUACAAGGACCUCACUACGAACAAACAUAACACCUUGUGUUAUCUUACCUUUAGCACUGGAUGGCUAUCCCACACCCUUUCGGGAACAAUCUAAAAGGUCGCUCUGAACGAAACCAAACGGGAGUUUGUGGGAGAUAUUUUGAGGUUUUAAUUUAACGGCGAUCAUGGCGCCACCUCAAAACAAGUGUUAAUCCCGAAGAUAUACCGGAGCAGCCCAGCUGUAUACAUCUUCAUUUGACUCCAACUGGCCAGGGGUCUUUAUUUAUUAAUUAUAUCAGAUUAUAGUUAUUGAGUGUUGUGUGUAUUUU
rnacentral:misc_RNA from 1 species